CAGUUAAAAUAGUUUUACCAUGUCGAAAACGAAGAUGGGGAUUUUCAUUUUCAAUACGCUUCGUACGUGUGGCAAACUCUAAUUUCUUUACUUGUCUUUUCAAGAUCUGUUUGUUACACAAUCUGUAACGUAGCUAGAUCCCUUACGACAAAGCCUCCUCCAGUACCCGGUUCAACUAGAGCUUGCUUAAAGACAAACUGUUGAAUCAAAUGUUCAACAUCUUAACGACACACAGAUUCCGCAAGCAAAUUUUGAGUAAUUUUCUUCAUACCCCCACCAACUUUAGCUGCCAAAAAUUUUCAACCAAAUUUGUAUCAAGAAAAUGUAGAGCCUUUUAGAAUGUCCAAUCCCACGCGAAACUAUGGCUAAACUAAAAUAAUCUUUUAAUAAACAUUAAUUAUUUAUUGACACUAUUACGACGUUUUUUGUGUGCGUGUGUGUGAAUUGUUGUUGGGGACAAUUCAUGUAUGUAUAUGAUAAAGAGAAGAAGAAACUAUUAAAAAAAGAAGGGUUUGAAACAUCGCUAUACAAUUUUAUUUUUUUAGUCAUUAUUUAUCCAAACAUUUUGCAGUUUUGAUAUAUAUUCAGAAUUU
rnacentral:lncRNA from 1 species